GAUGAACGCUGGCGGCGUGCCUAAUACAUGCAAGUCGAGCGAACGGACGAGAAGCUUGCUUCUCUGAUGUUAGCGGCGGACGGGUGAGUAACACGUGGAUAACCUACCUAUAAGACUGGGAUAACUUCGGGAAACCGGAGCUAAUACCGGAUAAUAUUUUGAAACGCAUGGUUCAAAAGUGAAAGACGGUCUUGCUGUCACUUAUAGAUGGAUCCGCGCUGCAUUAGCUAGUUGGUAAGGUAACGGCUUACCAAGGCAACGAUGCAUAGCCGACCUGAGAGGGUGAUCGGCCACACUGGAACUGAGACACGGUCCAGACUCCUACGGGAGGCAGCAGUAGGGAAUCUUCCGCAAUGGGCGAAAGCCUUACGGAGCAACGCCGCGUGAGUGAUGAAGGUCUUCGGAUCGUAAAACUCUGUUAUUAGGGAAGAACAUAUGUGUAAGUAACUGUGCACAUCUUGACGGUACCUAAUCAGAAAGCCACGGCUAACUACGUG
rnacentral:rRNA from 1 species